UUUUUUUCUGUCUCUGGAUACAUUGAAUGGAUCCGAUGCCUCCAGAAAACAAACAUAGACUGUCCAUUCCCUACUUCUAUGGAAUAAGUCUCCUUCGUAUAGAACGGUAAUAUGUCUCUCAAUUGUCCUAGCUUGAGUAUACAUCCAUCAGAACUCUAUCUGGGAGCUUCUGUUCCCCAUAUGAGGAGC
rnacentral:ribozyme from 1 species